GUCCACGCUGUAAACGAUGGGCACUAGGUGUUCGGGGUAUUGACCCCCCUGAGUGCCGCAGCUAACGCAUUAAGUGCCCCGCCUGGGGACUACGGCCGCAAGGUUAAAACUCAAAGGAAUUGACGGGGGCCCGCACAAGCGGUGGAGCAUGUGGUUUAAUUCGACGCAACGCGAAGAACCUUACCUGGGCUAGACAACGUCGGACCGCCCUAGAAAUAGGGUUUUCCCGCAAGGGACCGGCGGUUCAGGUGCUGCAUGGCUGUCGU
rnacentral:rRNA from 1 species